rnacentral:rRNA from 1 species
CUGAUGGCGACCGGCGUACGGGUGAGUAACGCGUAUCCAACCUGCCCUUUACUAUGGGACAGCCCGUCGAAAGGCGGAUUAAUACCGUAUGUUGUCAUGUUGAUGCAUAUUUUUCAUGACCAAAAGGCUUCGGCCGGUAAAGGAUGGGGAUGCGUCUGAUUAGCUUGCCGGCGGGGUAACGGCCCACCGGGGCGACGAUCAGUAGGGGUUCUGAGAGGAAGGUCCCCCACAUUGGAACUGAGACACGGUCCAAACUCCUACGGAAGGCAGCAG